CUAUGUAGCCCACAAUGACUUUUGAACUUCUGAUACUCUUGUGUCUGCUUUUCCGGAGCUGGGAUUGCAGUGUGUGCCACCGUGCUUAAUUAUCAAGUGCUGGGUCGUGAACCCGGGACCUCAAGCGUGACAGAGAAGCACCCUACACCUGAGCUGCAUCCCCAGCCCUGUGCUAACAUUGUCAAUUGCAUAGUUCAGCGGCAGCAUAUGACACUGUGUGGCUAUCACUGCCAUCAUCUCCUGAAUGCUUCAUCUUCCAAACUGAAAGUCUACAUGGAUUGAGCACUCGGCCCGUGUUCCUCGCCAGGUGGUUCGCAUCCUACUGUCUCUGUGAACUAGACUACCGCAGCUAUCAAAUUUCCUGAGAGAGGAAGGAUUGUGAGGAUGGAUGGCAUCACAACACAGUGACUCUCACACCCGUAUCCAGCAGUGAACUAAUGCUACCUGUGGUAUAAUGAAUAGUCAAGAGUUUGAGUUAGUUACUAUAUCUUUUCUAUCACUGUGGCCCAAAGAUACUUUCCUGAAAUACAUAACUGUUUUAAUUAUUAAGGACUCCAACACAAACUGUCUAAGUCAGGAUACUAAGAAUUAGACGAGCUCCAUAAGGGAACCUUGAUGUAUUUCUCCUAGAAUUGCCGGCAAGAAAUAAUUUUGAUGCUGAGGACUAAUAUAACUCUUCAAGGAAGUGAUGUGUCAAUCUAAGGCUACAGACUUUGGUCUUCAAGCUGAUUCUUAGCUACAAUUUUCCAGCUGUCACAGACCUACCUGGAGUUGACUGAAGAGCUUCAUUUUUGUGUGUGUCCAUCUUGAGUUUUAUCAGUGGAGGGAGGAAAAGGCAGUGCCUAUAUUUCAACCAUCUCUCCAAACGGGGGUGUCUCUGGAAUUAAUCACAAAGAAGAAAACUUCUCUCUGAAAUCUGAUUUGUAACGGUUUUUCCUGAUACAUUUGACAAGAAGGGAGAAUAUGUCAUCAUGGUCCAGGGAAGUUGUCUAUCUGUAAUAGAUAACAAUUCUAGUCUGUAUCACCAUCACCCACUCUGAGCACUACAAAGUACCAGGCCCUACAAAAAUAUCCUGGAUGAGGAUUGUUGGGGGAAAAAAGUUCUAGAAUUUGUGCAUUUAUCAGGGUCUUUGCAUGCAAUUCUAGUGACUGACUAGAUUUAUGAGUAUAUGGCAUAGAAUCAACACUAAAAAUCCUGCUCAGACAUUGUCUGCUAGUUCAUAUAUAACAGAAAAUAGUCUCAUUUUAAGAGAGAAGAAAAUUAAAUGCAUCAUGUUCAAAUAAUAGUUUUAUUAGCCUUAUUCAUGUUACAUAGACAGCAACAUUUUAAACAACACCUUAUUAGUAAGUACAUACAAAACAAGAGUGUAGGCCAAUGAGCUAGCUCAGCAGAUAAAUGUAAUUACAGCCAAGACUAGGUUUGAGUUCAAUUCACACAGUGAAAGUAGAAAUCUAACUCCCACAAGUUGUCCUCUGAUUUCCACACCAAGCUGCAGCAUACCAUCCCCAAAACAUAUAAAAUAAAUAAAACCCAUGUAAUAAAAAAAGAAAUUCAGAGUAGCAUUUUAUUAAGUACGUACUGCAAGUAAAUGUUGUUAUGACAUUGUGUGUGUGUGUGUGUGUUUGAGCACAAUGUACAUGCAUAUAUAUAUACAUAUAUAUAUGUAUAUAUAUAAUUUAUGUACCUUUGUAGUGAGUCAGUUUGCAGUAAAUUAUGGUCUUUAAAAGCAGGAAUGCAUAUGUAUAUACAUGCACAUAAAUGUAUGUAACAACAAUUUACAAAAAGAACAUGAAUUGGAAAGAGCAAGGAGGGGUAAAUGGAAGGGUUUGAAGGAGGAAAGAGAAAAGAGAAAUUAUGUAAUUAAAUUUAAUCUCAAAAACUUAAAAGAAAUAAUUAACAAAAUGGUAAGGGAACAAAAACCAGAAGCACAUAAACAUAUAAAAACCCUGAAUGACUUGUCAUUAGACUAAUUAUAUGCAACAAACAAUGAGCUAUAAUGAGCCUUUAGACUCGCUUUACUUUUACUAUGCACUUGAUUUAAAAUAGCAAAGAAACAAAAUAGAUCUAUUUUAUUGUCAUUUACUUAAACUUUUAGAAUUCAGUCAGCCACAUAGUCUUCUUUAAUGUCUCUGUCUCCCUGAGUUUCCACUGAAACCUUAGUCUGUGCAGAAUCCUCACAGGGAAUGAGGAUGUAGAGGCACACAGCAUGAGCAGUGCCUGCAGCUCAGAACUUACAUUCUCCAAGGACAUCGUCAAUGAUACAUCCCAUGACCAUCGUCUAUGGAGAGGGGUGAGUUCUUCAGAGAGACUUGGGGCGGAGUGACAGUUUCAUUAGAUGUCAAAAAAAGUGACAAGAAGGGAACUUAGUGACUCUCAGUUGUGAGAUGCCCUCAUGCACACUGGGAGCUACUGUGAGUACUGUGAGAUCUGUGGAAGAGAAUGGAUCCCAGGGACAAGGAAGAGCAGAGAGCAUGUGUGGGUGGGUGAUAUAGAACAAGGUUGAGAACAGUCUCACAGGCAAGAACAAAUCAGAGGGAGGGUGCACAUCGAAGCCAAGAGCUGCAGUGAGAAAUGAGCACAUAGUGUGACAGGAAGCUGCAGAAGGUAGAGACAGGCAAUUACGUCAUGUGCAGGGAUUCCAGAAAUGACCAUCCCAAUUAUUUCAUGAACGAUACAGAGGGGGAUCAAAAGUUUCCAUAGGAGAAUAAUUACAGAAAUACCUCUCUGGCCCAGCAGAGGUUGCAGCUUUCACCCAAGCAAUGGCAGGAAAAGAAGAAUGAUGAGAACUUGAUGACAGGUUUAAGAGGUCAGGUGACCAAACUGAAUAAAAUUGAUGAGGGCAUGAGAGGGGCAAAGUACAACUAAGCCUUUGGGUUUAUGUGGACCUGUGUCAGCCAGCCACAAAAUAUGUAUAGUUUUUGAAGAUAUUUCAAUUCGGGCCUGGAGAGAUGCGUCAGCAGUUUAAGAGCACCCACUGUUCUUGCACAGGGCCCAAGAUCAGUUGCUAGUUCCCACAUUUGUUAACUAACAAUUGCCCAGAGCACUGGCUUCAGAGGAUCCCAUCCUUCUGAUCUCUGUGAGCACCUGCCAUCACAUACACAAACCAACACAGAAACACAUAGGUAAAAAAAUAGAUCUUAAAAACAUAUGCUUCUUUGAUAUUUAUUCCUGACAUAAGAUGUGUUUAUUUAAAUAUACCUUAUGUGUUGAAAUAGUGGUGGACAUGUUGAAGUUAUAUCAAGGAAAUGCAAAAGUCCUCCUGUUUUUUAUUGAAUUCACCUUCAAGGAAUCUUUAUAAGAUUUUUAGUGCAAUAAGAAAAGCCUCAGAAAUGUAUCAAAGAUAAUUAUCAUGCAAAUGUGUCUUCCCAGGCUUCAAGUUCUUCCACUGUUUUGAGCAAAUAACUUGUUGACUAAUGAUAAUGUGUUCACAGAUGUCUCUCAGUUAAGACUGAAAUUUAGCUUUGGAACCUCUAAAAUGGAAAAUGCUGUUGUCUUUAAAAUAUAUUUUUAUAUGUGCAUUUUCAAACUGACAGGUACUUAGGGGAGAAUGAAGGGACUAACUGGUAAUUUACUGAGUGUGAGGAUCAUUUAUCUCUGUGAGUAAUGAGGGCCUGCGGUCCAGGGUGUGGGUGGGAAUGUUCCACACCACACAAUGGUAAUGAUAGCUCAUCAGGUGGGGUGGUGGGAUGGCUCUGUGCCUUUUUGGAGCCUAAGCCACAGUGGCACUUUGCUAAAAGGUUACCAUGUAUAUACAUGAGAAGGAUGCAGCAGCCUCACAUUAAUUAAAAUGUUGUGUGUUAAAAUAAGUGCUGGGCAUUCCCAGUGGAUAUUUUAAGAGAGUAUAAGUGACUAUUAUGCACAAAUGCUUUUAGAAAAAUCACUUCCUCCUUGCUUAAGGCAUGAGGAGACUGUGGCUUUCUUGUUCUUAAAAGUAUUUCCCACAAGUAUUUCAGGAUCAUCCUAUAAACAGGAACCACUGGAAUCAUCCUGUUUUGAGAUCCUGACACUAUAAAUCUUUCUAUCUUUAUAUCACAAAAUGAAUAUAAUAUGUGUUUAAAGAGACAAGCUAUGAGAACAAUGGAAUAUCAUGCACAAUAAUUUUAACAUAUUUUAACUUUAUGUUAAGCUAAUCUUACAUUCAGGUAUACAUGUGUAUUAUGAAAGGAAUAGAUAAAAAUCCUCCUAAAAUGCUUAAGAUAGUGUAUGUUAAUACUUUGUCACUGGUGCUGUGACUGACACUUCUCAGUGGUACACGGCAUGCAAACUUUGUGGCCUCAUGAAAUAUCAUUUGUAAUUCUUGCUCCUCUAUUUUCUUAGACUCAGUAAUUAUAAAAAGACAUAAUAAACUUACUGAUGAAUUUUACAAAAACCCUGUAUAAGUCCUGAGGUACUUAGGGGAAAAAAGUGCUAUUUUGGAUAAACAGCGAAAGCUUAUAUUUUCAAGGAAAGAACUUAUAUUAUUGUAUUUAAUAAUUCUUCAUAGCUUAGAAAAUUAUAUACAUAUGUAUGAAGCACAAUACAAUAAUAUUAUAUAGGCAUGCAUUAUGGAAUAACUAAAUUAAAACAACCUACUUAUCCUUGACCUCACAAUUUUAUCUUAAUUUGUUAGGACUAUGAGUAUCAUAUACUUGCUAGAUUAUUUUCAAAUAUACAGUAUGUUAUUUGCUACAAAUAAAAUGUCCUGAAUGAGAGCUCUGAAAUGUGUUCUCCCUAUCUAACUGAAACUGUGGAUAUGCCGUGAUGUGUUCUCCCUGUCUAACUGAAGCAGUGGGUAUGCUGGAAUGUGUUCUCCCUGUCUCACUGAAGCUGUGGAUAUGCUGUGAUGUGUUCUGCCUGUCUCACUGAAGCUCUGGAUAUGUUGUGAUGUGGUCUGCCUGUCUCACUGAAGCUCUGGAUUUGUUGGAAUGUGUUCUCCCUGUCUCACUGAAGCUGUGGAUAUGCUGUGAUGUGUUCUGCCUGUCUCACUGAAGCAGUGGGUAUGCUUGAAUGUGUUCUCCCUGUCUAACUGAAGCUAUGGAUAUGCUUGAAUGAACUUUUUCAGGCCCCAACAACAAGCAUGUUGCUCUUUGUUUGUGGUCUAGGAAUUUUUAGAUUCCACAGGUAAGAUGGAUCAUACAGCAUGUGUUUUGUCUAUACUUGGUUUAUGUGAUUUAUUACAAUUUCCUCCUGCCCCAACCAUGUUGAACCAAAUGGCAGGAUUACUGUCAUUCAACUCCCAAUCUUGUGUAUUUAUCUCACAUUCUUUUACCAUUCAAGAUAUUCUACCUUAGGUUGCCUACUGUGAACAAUGCUGCAAAGAUGAUGGAAGCCCUGAACUGAACACCUUCAGCUUCACAAAGCAACAGAGAAGAUGCAAUCUACAGACUAAAAGAGAGUAUUCACAAAACUUAUAUACAAGGAACUCAAUUCAGUAUAUAUACAUAUAUAAAGUAACAAUUCAUUGUAAAACUGGACGAAGGACCUCAGAUUUCUCCCUAGAAGAUACAUACAUGGCCAAAAUAUGAAUGAGAAAGUGCUCACUGCAUCAACCAUCACUGGAAUGCAAAUCAACACCACCAUAAGUGUCACCACGUGCCUGGUAGAAGGGCUGCUGUCAAAUAGAUGAAAACAUAAUGAAUGAUACUUGAGGAUAUGGAGUAGAAAAGUGAACCCUUGCAGGCUGUUGGGGAUGUGGUUAAUAUAGUCACAUUGGGCCACAGUAGAAAAGUUUCUGAAAAAAAAAAAAAAUCAAAGCUAGAGAUGCUAUAUGAUUCAACGUUCGUAUUACUGGGUAUAUUACAAGAUGAAAUCAUUAUGUAAGACAUAUUCAUUUUCUUGAUGAAUAAUUUACCUCAAGGAAAUGCCUUACUUGGUCUUUUUAUUUGGGAAGAUGAAGCCUGUGGCUGGCAUGUGUAAAUUAUCUUUCAUUCAGUGCUAUGCUGUUACUAUACAACAACAGAACUGUGUGUGCACUGUAUCUUUAGCUAUUCUAUAAAGAAAAGGGGGAGAGAACUUAAAAACUCUUAUAUACUGAGACAUUGGAAAGACUACAGCUGGAUAUUCCAAAGACAAUCCAGGCAAGUAAUUUUUCAACCACCAAGGAUGACCAAGUGACUUUUGUAGGUCUGUCGUGAAUCCUUAAAUUUUUAAUGAAAUUUUAGAAAUCUUUUAAGUUUCCACAAAAAGUUGAGUGGAAAGUACAGAUUUUUUUUCAUGGAAAAUGCAGAUUUUUUCCUUCAUCUGCUCACAUUUGUCCCCAUUUCUCUCAUUCAACACUGCAUGCCAGCGUAGAAUAGCUGGAAUAAUUAAUGAGUCAUCAUCGACACGUGAUUAGUGUUGACUUGUGGGUUUUUCAUUGUAGGAUCCACAGCAAAACUUACAGUCUCUUAAAGGAUGAUUUAACAACCGUAAAAAUUCUCUUUGCUAAAUAUAUUAAUCAAUCUAGCUCUCUAAAUCAUUGAAAUUACAUCAGGAGGACUUAUGGAGAAAAUAUAAACAUGUAUUACUAAGCGCAGGGACCCAGCUGAAAAGGUCACCAUACUGUAUUAUUCUACUUAUAAUGAUAUUCUAGAAUGGGCAAAACUAUGUGGUUAGCAUAAAUGGUGUCAGAUGCAAGUGGUUAAAAGAGAGUGAGGAAUUCAUAGAUUUAGCAAAAGGGAAACUUAUUUCAUUAUCUUGAUAUUCAUUUUUUGAUGUUUUCUUAUUUUCAUUUCAAAAAAUUAAUUAAAAUACAACAAUUGUGUCA